GGCUUCGCAGCUCAGCUGGUAGAGCAUUUGCCGCGUAUGAACAUGAGGUGUCUGUCGCUGGUUCGAAUGCAGCCGAAGUCC